CAAGAAGGAGCUUGUUCAAAAAGACGAGACAAAAAUGGAUGGCUGCAUCUGAAAGCUUCAUCUGAACAGGAGACACCAUGGGGCCUGGUGUGGAGUCUGGAUUGAGUGGAUUCAGUGAAAUGAGGCAGGAGGCCAUUUCACUGACUGAGGGAGAGAGCACAGCAGCUAACUGUGAAGACUUCUGCAUGUAUUUUGGAGAUGGAGCAAAAGCCCACAAAAUUAUUCAAACAAGCCUCUCAGACCCUCAUGAAGGAGCUAAGGGUCAUCUACACUCUUGUCACUACGAAGCUUGGUUUCAACAGCUCAUGCUGGUCCACUCUGUUCCUGAGUGCAAUCCUGUGCAGCCCUGCAUGGUUUACAAUGUGCACAUCCCCUAAGGCUUUUUCCUGAACAGCCAAUUGCUUGAAGGACCAGCAAAAGAAGCUAUUUUGACAAUUUAGCUGAACUCGUGGAAAUUUCAGACUGGCCCAGAUGGU